GAAGAAAGAAACCACCCCUGGCUAAGCUGCUUCUGGAUGAUAUGAAAGUGAAGUUGCUGGGAGCUUUGCAGGGAACAGUAGAGAGGUCCUCCAGCUGAAGGAGAAUGUGUCUGCAGAGGCCGACCUUAGCUCAAUGCCUGCAACUGCGACCCCCUGACCAAGAGGCAGAUUUGAGAUCAGACUACCUAAAGGAGUUUACUCUGCAGUGUGGUGUUUCAAUGCAAUUACAUCACAGACACCGGCAGGUAGGAGCAAUCUGCAAAUGGACACUCAGCUUUUACUUUAUGAGUCAUUAUUUCCACUGGGGUAAAGGGAAGGAGGACAGGUCAGCAGGACAAGAAUGAUGCCGUGAGCUGUGAUCCCACAUCGCCAUAGGGUGCUGCUGGUAUGUGGGAUCACUCCUGUGGUACAUGGUGGGGUAGGCAAAAAAGCAUAGCCAGAAGUUACUGAUUUUCAUUUAGAUGCUCACCCUAUUAAACCCUUAUGAUUCACCUUUUGGGAGUAGCUAGUACCAUUUUUUGAGUUCCAAAACAAAUCACAGUGAACAAAACAGCUCUCCCUGUGGUAGUUGGACUGGUCAUGGUGCAUAUGUGGCAACCAGAUUGAGCACAUUCGGUACAUCAGGGCCAGACAGCUGCGGGGGUUUGAGCCAGGCACAACACUCCCACACCAUUUGGCUGUCAAUUUUCUGGCUUCCUCUCUCUCACCUGCCACGAUGCCAAAAGAAUAAGGAUGCAAAU
rnacentral:lncRNA from 1 species